UGAGUUGUGUUGGAGGAGUACAGGUCUCUAGCUUAGGCAUAGCUAUGCUACUUGGCCUUGGACCCUGAAGAUCCAUCUGAAGAAGGGGGGUUUUCUACCUACUGCUACCACAGUUUGGAAGGUGAAAUGUUGUAACAGGGCAACAAUGGCAACUUUCAGGCUCAGGAGGGCAAACCUCAUCCCAAUGCAGUUCCUGGGACCAGCUCCGAAGGGCAGACUCUCUCAAGCCGUCCCCCGAGGGGAUAGAGACGAAGGGUUUCAUUCAUGGUCAUGUCAAGAUAUUCCAAUUGCAUCACUGUUUCGUAUGUGAGAGGAGCCUUCGGAUAACAAGAGAGUGGUGAUCAGUCCCAGAAUUCCAGGAAGCUGUACAAAGAGAGAACAAAAUGGGCAAGAGUUGCUGCGGAUGGUUGUAUCUGUGGAAAUUUUGGUGUCCUUAUAAAUACCAACAGCAUGCUGACAAGAGCCCGUCAGCAUUAAGCACUGCUGCAGUGUGUGGAAGGGGUGGAGGGCACAUAAAACAAGUCAUCAUUGAGCGUGGCCUCUCUUCUUGCAAGAGGAGCGUUUGGAGGAUGCAAACAGCUGGAAUAUGGGUAAUUUCAUGACCGUAAAAACUUCAUUUUCCUUUUAUUGCUAUCGAAAAGCUCUGGAUAGGUGCAUCUCUCAUCCGGCUGAUUAACCUGAGGUUAGCGCAGAUGUGCACCUCUGUGCACCAGCAGCGGCGUACCUCAGCCUCCCUCCAAAAGGCAACCAAAGGCGAAGUGUUGCUGGCAUGAAGAGACAAAGAAGAGCCUCCCUUUUUCAUCUGGCACUCCGGUGCAGCCUCGCUACGCCCACUUCGGCUGCUUUCAGCUCCCACCGUGCCUCCCGGUUGCCUAGCAAUCCUAACAAUAUUUUAUGAGGCUUUAUUCCAGGGGCACAGCGUAUUAAUGCCGAAUUUUAGCGAGGCGCUCCAGGAGAAGCAAAGAGGAGGCCUGAGAUAACAUCACAUCGAUUUAUUACCGGCAGGCUAGGGGGAGAAAAAGAAAAUACCAAGUGGCGAUGACGGGGAUUUAGUGGUGAGGGCUGAAGAGCUGCUGGGAGCAGCAUUUUGGGGGUGAUGCGUUGUACCGGUGCUGCCUGAGCAAGAAACCUGUGGUGAAAUUAUCCCUUCUGGGUAGCUGGAUUGCUCCUCUGCAAAUUUGGGGAUGCUGGGCCAGGGUUUUCUAGCGGUAGCUCUGGGGAGGACGAUGCCUGCAGGCACGUGAAAGGAGGCUGGAGGGGAUGAGACACACCGGAUGCUGGUCAGGGGCCACCAAAUUUCCUUCCACCCUGGGCACAAUGAGAACGAAAGCACCAAAAUGCAUAAAUCUGUUUCAAAGCACAUUCCCUUGGUUUCUCCCUUCCUAUCCCCAAUCAAACAUAACCUGGGGUUAUAUUCUAUACCAUUAAUUAAUCCCUCGGGGUUAGGUUCAUGUUUUCCAAAGGCUACAGAGUUCCUAUUUUUAUGUUUUAUUUUGGCUAGCACAAACUUUGUCCAAGACCCAAGCUUGCUAUAAUGGUUACUCUUAAUGUUUGGUGUUGUUUUUGUUUUAAGCCUGCCUUUAAAAAAGAAAAACAGCACCCUUAAUUUUAGCAAAGAUUACUCCAUAAUAGUAAUCUCUUGCUAACAUAAACUGAAUUAGGUUCAGCCAUUAAACUCUUACAUAAUUACUAUUUUGUUGAUGAAGAAUAACCUUCGGUUACAUUCUGCAACUGUUUCAUUUCUGCAAAACAUGUAUUUAUAAAAAAAUCAAUAGAAAUGUUUUCAUGCCU